GAAUUGUUUCUUUGUGAUGAAUGGUGGAAAUAUCUGAUUUCUGUACAAUUUUACCAAUACCUAUGCCUCCAACAGCUAAUAAACCCUAAAAAGAUCAUUUUGCUCAUAUUUCUAAACUGGUCUUCUGACUGACUGACUUAAAUAGGUGACAACCGAUAUUAUUACAUGUGCAUGAAUGACUUAUUAGCACAUUGAUGGUGGAGGCAACUUUGCUUUUUGCUUGGAUGGAGACCUGCAAGUUGCUUUGUCAAGUGUUGUUGUUUAGAUUUUCCCCAGUUGAUGGGGAGAAAAACUUCUUGAUAUUUUCCCUUCAUGUAAUCAUUUUAAUUUCUUUGUUUCCUUGAAAUAGGGUAAAUGGAACUAGUGGACCUUGUG
rnacentral:misc_RNA from 1 species